GGUAAAAGGACGAUAGAUGUUUGAUAGGAAAGAAGAAGCAAACCACACCACAGCAUUCGCCAACCACCCACCUUGUGAGGAUAGUGACCCGUCCAAGUCUGUCAAGUUAAAAGCACAUAGAACGACCCAGAGGAGCAGCAGCAUUUCUUCGUCUUGGUUUUGAAAGAGCUUCCGCAGCGAGCGUUCACACGUGAUAAAAGCGGUCUGUUCGUGACAUGUUGUGAAGGGAAUUCCUCUCUAUGAAAGAGCAAGUGUCAACACAGUUGGAAGUGGAAUCAGCGGCUCCCAUUACAACCCCCAAAGCCGACGGCGACUACAGUUCCAUACACCAGAGUAUGUUCUUAUCUACAGAAUGUGAUAGCCAGUCAGGGAGAAAUUGAAUCUUGGACUCAUCAUCACAUUUCAAUUGAGGUUUGUCUUCGGCUUUCGCUGUCGUUUUGUGCUUUUGGAGCGUUUUUCCUGUUAGACACAUAUGAUCCACAGUUCUUCACAUUUUAGUACAGGAGAGGAAACCUCACCCAAAAACAUUGCCAAUUGCAUGUUUAACUCAUUUCUUCGACUCAUCUACACAUCA